UACGUAGGGUGCGAGCGUUAAUCGGAAUUACUGGGCGUAAAGCGUGCGCAGGCGGUUUUGUAAGCCAGAUGUGAAAGCCCCGGGCUUAACCUGGGAAUGGCAUUUGGGACUGCAAGGCUGGAGUUUGGCAGAGGAGACUGGAAUUCCUGGUGUAGCAGUGAAAUGCGUAGAUAUCAGGAGGAAUACCGAUGGCGAAGGCAGGUCUCUGGGCUAUAACUGACGCUCAUGCACGAAAGCGUGGGGAGCAAACGGG
rnacentral:rRNA from 1 species